CACACCGGAGAGCCCAAAGCUGUCAAGAUGUUUCUUGCCAUUAGGCACUGGGGGAUAUUGUCCAAUAAGUCCUGCUGGCAUUGUCAGUUCUGAGGGUAAAGUAGGGGAAAGUUCAGAAGGAUGUAAAUAUUUUCUAAUAGAUGAAAGUGAUAUCUAACACAUUCCCCUGCCCUUUUCUUUCUUUCUUUCUUUCUUUUUUUUUUUUUUUUUACAAACAGUAAGAAACACUUUAUUAUAACUUUACAAUAUAUAAAUAGCUUGGGUCAAAUCUGUGCUUUCUGGCAGCCGGGCACCAAGUCUGCUCCCCUGCAGGCUCCUGCCUUCCUUCACAUUGCACUGUUCAUUGGGUGGCUCAGAGGAGGCCAAAUCAGCCUGGUGAGCAUAUGAACAGAAACAAUAUCCAAACU
rnacentral:lncRNA from 10 species